rnacentral:rRNA from 1 species
CACGUAGGGUGCGAGCGUUGUCCGGAAUUAUUGGGCGUAAAGAGCGUGUAGGCGGCCAUGUAGGUCCGGUGUGAAAACUCGAGGCUUAACCUCGAGAUGUCAUCGGAAACCAUUUGGCUAGAGUCCGGAAGAGGAGAGUGGAAUUCCUGGUGUAGCGGUGAAAUGCGCAGAUAUCAGGAGGAACACCGGUGGCGAAGGCGGUUCUCUGGGCAUGUUCUGACGCUGAGGAGCGAAAGUGUGGGGAGCGAACAGG